CGAUGAAUCUCCUCCUCCUUCUGAAUCUCUGAUACUUUCAAGGCUGUCGAUUCUUCUAUUUUCGGAUGCGUUGCUGCUUCUAGGUGAAGAGCUUCCAUCGCUUGAUGAAGAGCUAUUUUUUCUAGUAUGAUUUGGAGCUGGUGGCUAUGCGCCUUCUUUGUCCUUCCCGAUCUUUCGAGAUUCGGUAUCGGAAUCUGAAGAUUCUGAAGAGGAAUCAUCGUCUCGAUUCUCCUCCUCAGGUUCGGGUUCUGGUUCCGGCGGAUAAGGGAGUGGACGAAGAUUCUCGUCUGGAACUGUGGAAAGGAAACUGAGAGCUGUCAUGACGUCGCCGAUCAGAGGACGGACUUCUGCUUCCUCUUGUAGACACAUGGCGGCGACGGCCACGGCCUGAUUCAGAUCUUUCUCCGGGAACAACCGCCCAAGGAGUGGAUCGGCCAGGUCUGGAAAUCUCUUUGGAUCUCGGAAAAAUGGUUGUGCCUGUUACGUAGCCAUGGCUUCAAAUAGGUCAAUUCUAGGGCAAAACAUAAGGAUAAUACCUCUAUAUUUGUCAAUGGCUUUUCUUCCAGUAAUGAGUUCGAGCAUAACAACUCCAAAGCUGUAAAUAUCAGACUUGGAAGUGAGCUGACCACCUCUUGUGUAUUCAGGAGCAGAGUAGCCGUAGGUCCCCAUGACCCUUGACGGCAAUGGCGACUUAUCACCACCGGGGCCAAGCUUCGCUAGCCCGAAAUCAGAAAGCUUUGGAUUGAAAUCUUCAUCAAGCAAGAUGUUUGAUGACUUCAAGUCUCUAAAUAUUAUGGGAGGAUCCGCCUGAUCAUGCAGGUAUUCCAAUCCUUUUGCAACUCCUGACGCCACCUUUAUACGAACAAACCAAUCCAUUGGCUUUCGAUCCUCUUUUAUGGCUGUCAAUAUUGAAGCAUAGUUCGAGACAUUUAAUAAUAUAUAAAAUUUUAGACAGUAGUUUCUCAAACUAGCUGGAAACAAGAAAGCACAUAAAAGAAUGGAAUAUAUGAACGUACAGACACAGUUCUAAUGGGAAUGAUACUGUCCUAAGAUUAUUUUCUCUAAGCAAUAGAAUAGUUAUUGAAUCCA